GAUGAACGCUGGCGGCGUGCCUAACACAUGCAAGUCGAGCGAAGCACUCUGACUUCUUCGGAAAGAAGAGUGAUUGAGCGGCGGACGGGUGAGUAACGCGUGGGUAACCUGCCUCAUACAGGGGGAUAACAGUUAGAAAUGACUGCUAAUACCGCAUAAGACCACAGCACCGCAUGGUGCAGGGGUAAAAACUCCGGUGGUAUGAGAUGGACCCGCGUCUGAUUAGCUAGUUGGUGAGGUAACGGCCCACCAAGGCGACGAUCAGUAGCCGACCUGAGAGGGUGACCGGCCACAUUGGGACUGAGGCACGGCCCAA
rnacentral:rRNA from 1 species